AUGGAUGAAAACACACUAGGUUUAGCAGCUGAAUGUCCUGCUAUAUGUAACUUUUAUAAUGGAUCCGGAGUGUACCAAGUUCACAAGAUACAGACACAGUGGGUACAGACAUGGAGUUUGAAAUUCUCUCCACAAGUUCUUGUUACCCUUCCUUACCAUCAUCCCAAGACUGGUUAUGAGCAGAACAAAACACCAAAAGAAAAACUAAAUGAAGCAUUACUGAGACUUUCAGCAAAGUCUGCAAAGUAUUACUACAUCAGCAAGGCCAAAGAAGCUGUUAUGAUAGUCCUGUCCAUCAUAGCCCCAGGACAAGAGGACACCAUUCUCUCAAAACUCAGUCCAUCCUCUACAAAUGAAAAUGGUGCAACAGACAAAGCUACACAACAGUUGAUAGAGGCAUAUCACGUCACAGCAGACACAAAAACCCAGCUGCAGAUCUUGUCAUUAUUUGCGAACAACUUUACAAAGGAAAAGCUUCUUCAACUUGUACCAUCACUGACACAAUCCAAAAUUGAUGCCGCCAGAAAACAUGCUUCAGUGAUGGGACCAGGACAGAUACUAAAUCCACCAAAGAUAGACAGAAUACGUCUGACCAGACCAAAAUUGCUACACUUUCUGGAAUAUGUAUAUAUGCCCUCUAUUUCCCAGGUUCUUGGUUUUGGUACUAUGCAACUUCAUUUGUCAAGUGGAGAAAAAAUACAAAUUACAAAAGUUAUCCGAAAUGCUGUGAGUGCCAGAAUCAUUGCAAAUUACCUAGAGUAUUGCAAGGAAACAGAGUUCCAAACUUUCAGCCGUGCAUCUUUGUACAGAAUCCUGAAAGCCUGUCGAACAUAA
rnacentral:sRNA from 1 species